rnacentral:rRNA from 1 species
UACGUAGGUCCCGAGCGUUGUCCGGAUUUAUUGGGCGUAAAGCGAGCGCAGGUGGUUCCUUAAGUCUGAUGUGAAAGCCCCCGGCUCAACCGGGGAGGGUCAUUGGAAACUGGGGAACUUGAGUGCAGAAGAGGAUAGUGGAAUUCCAAGUGUAGCGGUGAAAUGCGUAGAGAUUUGGAGGAACACCAGUGGCGAAGGCGACUGUCUGGUCUGUAACUGACACUGAGGCGCGAAAGCGUGGGGAGCAAACAGG